AGAACGAACGCUGGCGGCAGGCUUAACACAUGCAAGUCGAACGGUUGUAGCAAUACAGCAGUGGCGCACGGGUGAGUAACGCGUGGGAACAUACCUUUCAGUUCGGAAUAACAGCGGGAAACUGCUGCUAAUACCGGAUAUUCUCUCCGGAGGAAAGAUUUAUCGCUGAAAGAUUGGCCCGCGUCAGAUUAGCUAGUUGGUGGGUAAUGGCCUACCAAGGCUCCGAUCUGUAGCUGGUCUGAGAGGACGACCAGCCACACUGGAACUGAGACACGGUCCAGACUCCUACGGGAGGCAGCAGUGGGGAAUAUUGGACAAUGGGCGAAAGCCUGAUCCAGCCAUGCCGCGUGGAUGAUGAAGGCCUUAGGGUUGUAAAGUCCUUUUAACGGGGAAGAUAAGUGACGGUACCCGUAGAAGUAAGCCCGGACUAACUUCGUGCCAGCAGCCGC
rnacentral:rRNA from 1 species